UGGGGAAUCUUCCGCAAUGGACGAAAGUCUGACGGAGCAACGCCGCGUGAGUGAAGAAGGUUUUCGGAUCGUAAAACUCUGUCUUUUGGGGCGAACGUGAGUAUGGUGAACAAUCAUAGUCAGUGACGGUACCAAAGGAGGAAGCCACGGCUAACUACGUGCCAGCAGCCGCGGUAAUACGUAGGUGGCAAGCGUUGUCCGGAAUUAUUGGGCGUAAAGAGCGCGUAGGCGGGAUAGUCAGUCUGUUGUAAAGUGCGGGGCUCAACCCCGUGAUGGCAAUGGAAACAGCUAUUCUUGAGUGCAGGAGAGGAAAGGUGGAAUUCCCAGUGUAGCGGUGAAAUGCGUAGAUAUUGGGAGGAACACCAGUGGCGAAGGCGACUUUCUGGACUGUGUCUGACGCUGAGGCGCGAAAGCCAGGGGGAGCGAACGGGGAUUAGAUACCCCCGGUAGUCCUGGGCCGUAAACGAUGGGUACUAGGUGUGGGAGGUAUCGACCCCCUUUCCGUGCCGGAGUUAACGCAAUAAGUACCCCGCCUGGGGAGUACGGUCGCAAGACUGAAACUCAAAUGAAUUGAC
rnacentral:rRNA from 1 species